rnacentral:rRNA from 1 species
UACAGAGGUCUCAAGCGUUGUUCGGAUUCAUUGGGCGUAAAGGGUGCGUAGGUGGUGCUGUAAGUCAGGUGUGAAAUCUCGGGGCUCAACCCCGAAACUGCACUUGAUACUGCGGUGCUCGAGGACUGGAGAGGAGAUCGGAAUUCAUGGUGUAGCAGUGAAAUGCGUAGAUAUCAUGAGGAAGACCAGUGGCGAAGGCGGAUCUCUGGACCG